UUUUUUUUUUUUUUUUUUUUUUUUUUUUUUCUGGAAUAACACAGAGAGUAAGUAUGAGCUGGGUAGUUUCACUUUUUGUUCCUGUAUUCACGGGUUUGGUCGUUUUUGAACGGUGGGUGUGCCUCCAUAUGUAAUAACCAUUCUAUUUCCCUAAGUACCAGCUUGUCUGCUCCAACACCCACAGCCUGGGCUCCUAGGCCCGGCUGUGCUUCUGAUCUCGCAGCUCCCUCCUCUAACCCCUCCUCGACUCCACCGCAGCCCAGAGUCUCGCGGUAGUUGUGGAUUCCCUGCAGAAUGGACUGAGCUAGCAGUUUUCACUUCCAGCCUGAUUUAUGUUCACGCUGGAAAGAGCACAGAUGCACUUAUUAGCAAGCAUGAAGCCCAGGGCCUGGACGAUUCUCUGGGCCUUCUGGGCAGCAGUCCUCCUGCAACACAAGAGACCUGUUCGAGCAUGUGUGUGUUCUCUGACCUCGCUCGCCAUAGUUACAGAAUAAUUCUUAAGGCUACUUGGAAAUUGCUACCAAGAGGCUGGAAUCUCACCUAUUUAUGGCUUAACACUUAUUGACUUACACGCAACAGCAAUAUACAAAUACAGUUAUUGUAUGGAGCACAGACUAGGAUUGGAUAUGGUUCUUUGAUUCCAUGCUAAACAGAUGAGAGUAUUAUUUCUUUGCCCCUUGAAUGAGGUUUCUACUUAUCUUAGAAUCUCGGUUGCCUGUGGCUUUUUUUCCCCCCAAGGCCAUGGAGAUACUUUAUUCAUUGUGUGUUUCACUAAUAUGUUUUCAUCUAGGUUAAGCGGUGCUCCCCCUCUGUCGGUUGCUGGGGUUGUUUGUUUCUGUGGUGGCUGCCCUUGUCCUUUUCUUUAGGAUGGCUUUUCACCAAGGUAGGGAAAUCUGUCCUGAGUCAGGAUCCUGGGUGUCUUGAUAGAUACAUUUCAGUGUGUGUCACUUGAAAUUCUGCCCAAGUCAGAAUGGACAUUUGUCGUCUGCAGCCAGAGAGGCCUCUUUCUAGCAUCUCUCAGCUGAAGGAAGGGGAGCCAAGGUUUCUGUUUCUGUCUGUCUGCACCUCCACAUCUAGCCUGCUAGCCUCAUUCCUCUCCUGAAGCUGUGCCAGGAAUGGAUUUCAGAUGACCAUAAAGGCAGGGGAAGCGGGCCGGGUUGGCUCUUCAUAGGUAUCUUGGGAGGUUCCCCACGUAGAGUUCCUGCGCUGGACAGUUUCUUUUCUCCGCUGGCAUCGUUUCAGGUGUAUAAGAAAGUUACUGUGUUAGAGCAAAGACUUCUCACAUACUUUUCACCCAGACCCCCUCAUGUUAGCAUUUUCUCAGUUUGGUCUGUAUGGAUGUGUCUUUUUGCCUGUAGGUGCACACACACACAGUCGCAUAGGUUUUUCCUAAGCCACUUAAAAAUCGAGAUAUCAUGCCCCUUCCCCGCUAAAUGUAUCAGCACCGAUUCCUUGAAAACAAAGAUAUUCUCUUGUGUAACCACACCGCCGUGAUCAAACUUAGGAAAUUAACACUCCUCUACUACUGUCACCCAGUGGACAGACCUUCAUGAGAUUUUUCACGUCGUCGCUUGCACCCUUUCUGGGAAAAGAAAAUCCAGGUUAUGCGUUCGGUUCAUUGGUCAUGUCUCUUUAGCCCCCUCUAAACAGUCUUUCCGCCUCCUGACACUGGCAUUUCUCAAGGGCCUGGGACACCUGGUAGACUGUCCCCAAUUUGGGUUUGUCUGGGGCCCCCUUAUGAUCAGGUCCAGGUUUGGCAUUUUCGGCAGCCGUGUCAGGGAAGGGGUGCUGUGUUCGUCCCAGCGUGUCCUCGCAGGAGGCGCAGGAUGGCGAUUGGCGUCAUCCCUGGGGGUCCUGACUUCCAUCCCUGGUGAAGCACGAUGGUGUCUGCUGGGUUUCUCCACUGGAAAGUUACUGUUUUUCCUUCUGUAACGAGUAAGUGUCUAGUGGGGAAAUCCUUUGAGACUGUGUAAAUAUUCUGUGACCACGCACACUUCCAGCCGCCAGUUUUAGGAUCCAUUGAUUCUUGGCCGAAUGGGCUGGUAUGAUGAUGGUUAUGAAAUGGUGAUUUUCCUGACUCCAUCGUUCCCUCUGCAUUUGGUAGUUGGAGCUUCCCCCUAGGGAAGAACGCUUCCUUCUCCCACGUUUUUUGUUUUUUUUUUUUUUCCAAAAGAAUGGAAUGGUGGGUUCUUAUUUUAUUAUUGGGUUAUAAUCCUUGACCCUCAUGUAGUUUCAUACCUCAGAUUGCCCCACGUUCAGGCAGGGGGAGUCCCUAGUACCUGCUGCCAUGUCUCUCGGGGGCGUUCUUCAUUCUUAGAGCACCGCCUUAUGUUCGGGCUCAGAAAGAUGCUCCAGGCUUAUCUUGCACUUUGUCUGCCCCAGCCGGAGAACGGGCUCGUUCUCCAAGGAGCCCUGGGUCCCUUCAGAGGAGAAGUGAAUGGUCACACUAGACAUUUCCUCAGCUAAGAGAAAAAGACACAGAAUGUGUCCAGGGGUCAUCUUUUUUCCCCUCUCCAAAUGCUCUCAUCUCUCCCAAUACCUUGAUUUCCGCCAUGGUUUUAUUAAGCCCCUAUCACGUCUUGGGUGUGCAGGAUACAGAGAUGAAUGAGACAGGAAACCUGUUCUCAAGCUGCUCAGAGUCUAGUGGCCGAAAUAAACCGGACAACAGGUAAUUACAGCAGGGUGCUAACACCAGAAUUGCGGCGUCGCCCUAUGUGGAACUCUGUGGGGUCACAGAGGAGGGGGUUAAAGCUGAUGAGUUGACUGAGUAACCAGGAUGGAUGGACCAGGAAAGAAUGGAAUCUUCACCCUUCAGAGGACCCAAGGGGCUGCCCGCCGGACCCUCCUGGCUGUAGCACAAUGCCUUUCUCCUCCAUUCAGGGAACCUGAGCCUACAGGAUUUCACAGGGUCAGCAUUCCAUUUGGGAACUUCAAUAAUCUGGAGAAAGGUUUUCAUUUACAUUGAAGUGACCUCCAAUUCUUUAUAAAUUCCCAUCAUUAUUCCUAGUUAAACCCUGAAGCUAGGACGAAGGUGCAGUAGCUAAUCCUCAUGGUGUGUGGCAGGAGGGGCCUUCUUAUGGUUCUGGAUGGUUGUCCUGCCCUGCAGUGGGGACAUCUCAUUUCUGUGCUCUUGAGCUCAUCAUGGUCGGCCAUUCCUUUGUCAGUACCCCCAUGUGGCUCACCACCUUUUUCCUGCAGACAAAGAAAAUGAUGGGGCUGUGAUCCUGUAGAUUUUCAACAGCUGGAGGUACACCUGCAGCCCAGAGGCCAUACUUACAUCUUUGGCCACUGUGUCAGCUUCCACUGGAUUUGUAGUGAAGUAGUACCUCCAGGUAUUUUUUUGCAUGAGCUUCUGUUCAUCCAGGUCGCUUCCAUCCUCUCUCAGUUCAUUGUGUGUUAAACACAAAGCUUCCUAUUUAUCCUUGCAAAAUUUCAUCUUAUUCAUUUGGGCCUGUUGUUCUGUCUUGGUCAGAUCUUUUUUUCUUUUCUAGUCUUUUUUCUUUUUCUUUUUCUUUUUUUUUUUUUAAGUUUUGAUUCCAUCAUUUGGCAGGUUAGUUAGUCCACUCAACUUUAUGUGUUUGCAAAUUGCUGUAUGUGCUUGGUCUCGCCUGCCUCUCAAGUUUUUGAUUUAAGUGAAGGUUCCAGGGAGAAGGCAACCUUGAAGCAUGUCCCCUAGACACACUGACCUUUGAGUGGGCACUUUAGGUGACCGAAUCCUCCAGCUUUCAAAUCAGGGCCCAUUUUAUUAUCUGAAAGACAGUUUGCCACCCUAGCUACACAAGGAAGUGAUACCACUUUGGGAUCUGUUAUUAAAAUCGAAAGAUACCCUCUAUUGCAUUUCUCAGAUCAUUGCAUCUAAGUGAAGCUCUUUUUCAGCUUAUUUUAUGUGAAUUUUCCUGCAGAAUCUCUAGCUAAUCGCUAAUUCCUCAGGACUUUUUCUCCCCCAGAUGCUCUUCAGCAACUGUUGCCUGUGUGUUAAGACUGUGAGGAACUUGCAGUGUAUAAUCUACAAUGUAGCCUUUAAAAUCGAAUGUCAUCACUUCAUCCAAACGAGGACACCCCUCCCGCUUUCCCUUGUCUUUUCUUAUGUGACUUCCUAGUGCCUUUCCACUCCUUCACGAUGCAUUUAUUUGUUUGCGCUCUCUCCCCUGGAAAAAGGUAAGCGGAGACCUGUUUAUUGUUGAUUCCCUGGCAUCUGACACGGAAUAGGUACACAGUAAAUACUGAAUGAAGGAAGGAAUAUAUUUCUUGGUUUAUAGGUUCUGGAAUCUGCCCCCCGACCCCUUUUCUUGAAAGAGGUCAGGAUAAUGGGCCUACCAUUCAGUUCUUGGCAACUCUUCUAUCCCUGUCUCCUGUGUGAAGAUAUCCAGGUAAAGAGAUUUAUUUCGAACUCUGCUCCCCCUGCCACUCCCCACUGGGGAGGGAAAUAAGGACGUGUGUAUAAACUGGCAGUGUUCUGUUACAUGGCAGUCUUUUUUUUUUUUUAAAUCACUGUACCCGAGGCAUUUGGGAGUUCCUCAGCCAGGGAUUGAAUCUGCAUCACCAGUUCCUUUAGCCCACUGCGCUGGGCUGGGGAUGGAACCAGUGCCUCCAUAGUGACCAGAGCCACCCCAAUUGGAGUCUUAACCCACUGCACCAUGGCGGGAACUCCUAUUACAUGUGUUGACAGCACGUGAUCCUAGAACGGUCCCGGUCCCUAAAGAUGGAAGGCUAAUGUCAGGUGUCCUGAAGCCGCCUUUGAGAAGCAGACGGUAG
rnacentral:lncRNA from 1 species